GACGUAGGGUGCAAGCGUUGUCCGGAUUUACUGGGCGUAAAGAGCGCGUAGGCGGUCUCGUAAGUGAGAAGUGAAAUCUCCAGGGCUCAACCCGGAAACUGCUUUUCAUACUGCGAGACUAGAGGGAUGCAGAGGUUUGUGGAAUUCCUGGUGUAGCGGUGAAAUGCGUUGAUAUCAGGAGGAACACCCAUGGCGAAGGCAGCAAACUGGGCAUCAUCUGACGCUGAGGCGCGAAAGCGUGGGUAGCAAACAGG
rnacentral:rRNA from 1 species